rnacentral:sRNA from 1 species
AACUGGGUGGUAGCACUGACUGGGAGUGCCGCUUCUUUGGAGGCUGGAGGUUGAUUGGCCCAGGCAUGCAGCCAGCCAUUGCCUGUCUGUUCAGGAAGCAGCUCUGAGCUGCCCUAGUGGCUGGACAGCUUCACAGGUAUCCCCAGCCCCUCCCAGUCAGACCCCACAGGAAAACUUGGCUCCCAGUAAGUUACCGCUCUCCUGGAAGCACAGAACGGACUUUUCGUGUCCUGCUGUAAGGAAACAAGAUGGUCCUUAAAACCGAAGAGGAGGAUGUUCCCAGUGACCUGACAGCAGAGGAGCGUCAAGAACUGGAGAACAUCCGACGGAGAAAACAGGAGCUGCUGGCUGACAUUCAGGUAGGAGAGUGGCAUGGUGGUUUCACCAACGUAAGAACCACAGUGAUAGUUCCAUUUGUAUAAAAGGGUGUCCUUUGCAGAGUGUCUCCUCAAGACACUUUUGACCUGCCGUCACUACAGCUCUGCACAAAGCGUAGGUGUUGAUAAUCACCUUUCCUCUACAGCUGAGCAGAUGGAAUGUCAGAGGUUCAGUGGUUUGUCCAGGUUCACCCAGUUGGUUGGUUGUCGGAGCUGGAGAUACCCCGCAGGACUCCUGUCUCCUGAGUAGUCCUCUCUGCUGUGUUUGCCCUUGCGGAGCAGAGUGGAUGAGGAGAGGAAAUGAGAACGUGGGUUUCAGGCGAAGCUCGGCCCACGCCCUGGCCCUGGCUCUGGCUCUGCCGCUUACUGGCUGAAUGAUUUGAGACAAGAGAGUUCCGGUUCCUUGAACUUCAGUUUCUUCAUCUGUCAGAUUGUGAAAACACCUGCUACACAGUUGGAAGGACUUAGCAUAAAAGACAGCAUAAUUUCUGGUCCCUAUAGAUGUACUUAGUGAUAGCAAUUUUACAAUUUUUCCAAGUUCCUUUUCGUAACUAUCAAGCUUGUAGGAAAUAAGUCUAGAAGCCAAUAGUUGGAUUAUUUUCGCCCUAAGGCAGCAAAUGUUAUUCUUUUAGAAUUCUUCGUAAAACAUUAGGAGUGGGGUUAAGGAGGGAAUCCUGUUGCCCAGAGUAGCAAAAUGAGGAAAGACUUGACUUG